UGAAGCAGAGCCUACUAUGCCUCCUCCAAUCACUGCUACAUCAAAUUGUGAAGUAUCACCUGCACCUGCACUGUAUCUAGAAUAACAGUAUUGCAAAAUUAUAGAAAUUUCUGGCUGGUGGCGGAUUCAGGUUGUGAUACCUAGAGGCAACAACAUAAUUCAUAGGCCAUGGUUCCUAAUAUCCAACAAUAUACUAAAAAUGACUACAUUGUGCAUUUAAGUCACACUGAAGGAAGGCUUAUGAUCUAUCCCAUAAGUGAAUAAGUUCGCUUAUAGACGAGAUGUUUGGAAAAAGCUAGAUUUACCAGAAUUGUCUUUAAAAGUACCUUCGUAAUGUGCCAGUGGUAACAGGAUGACGAUAAUUAAAAUUUAGCAAAAAUCGCA